GUAGGUGGCAAGCGUUGUCCGGAAUUAUUGGGCGUAAAGCGCGCGCAGGCGGUUCUUUAAGUCUGAUGUGAAAGCCCACGGCUCAACCGUGGAGGGUCAUUGGAAACUGGAGAACUUGAGUACAGAAGAGGAAAGCGGAUUUCCACGUGUAGCGGUGAAAUGCGUAGAGAUGUGGAGGAACACCAGUGGCGAAGGCGGCUUUCUGGUCUGUAACUGACGCUGAGGCGCGAAAGCGUGGGGAGCAAACAGGAUUAGAUACCCUGGUAGUCCACGCCGUAAACGAUGAGUGCUAAGUGUUAGGGGGGUUUUCCGCCCCCCUUAGUGCUGCAGCUAACGCAUUAAGCACUCCGCCUGGGAGUACGGCCGCAAGGCUG
rnacentral:rRNA from 1 species